rnacentral:tRNA from 1 species
GGGUAAAUGGCUCAGUGGUAGAGCACGUGCUUAGCAUACACAAGGUCCUGGGUUAUACCCCCAGUACCUC